GACGAACGCUGGCGGCGUGCCUUACACAUGCAAGUCGAACGGUAACGGGCCUUCGGGCGCCGACGAGUGGCGAACGGGUGAGUAAUGCAUCGGAACGUACCUUUCAGUGGGGGAUAACGUAGCGAAAGUUACGCUAAUACCGCAUAUUCUGUGAGCAGGAAAGCAGGGGAUCGCAAGACCUUGCGCUGAUUGAGCGGCCGAUGUCAGAUUAGCUAGUUGGUGGGGUAAAGGCUCACAAAGGCGACGAUCUGUAGCGGGUCUGAGAGGAUGAUCCGCCACACUGGAACUGAGACACGGUCCAGACUCCUACGGGAGGCAGCAGUGGGGAAUUUUGGACAAUGGGGGCAACCCUGAUCCAGCCAUGCCGCGUGAGUGAAGAAGGCCUUCGGGUUGUAAAGCUCUUUCGGCCGGGAAGAAAUCGUAUGGGCUAAUACCCUGUGCGGAUGACGGUACCGGCAUAAGAAGCACCGGCUAACUACGUGCCAGCAGCCGCGGUAAAAC
rnacentral:rRNA from 1 species